rnacentral:rRNA from 1 species
UACGGAGGGUGCGGGCGUUAUCCGGAAUUAUUAGGUUUAAAGGGUGCGCAGGCGGACUGGUAAGUCGGCGGUGAAAUACCGGGGCCCAACCCCGGGGCUGCCAUCGAUACUGCCGGUCUUGAGUGCGGGCGAGGAAGGCGGAAUGUGGAGUGUAGCGGUGAAAUGCUUAGAUAUUCCACAGAACACCGAUUGCGAAGGCAGCCUUCCAGCGCGCAACUGACGCUCAGGCACGAAAGCGCGGGUAG